rnacentral:pre_miRNA from 1 species
UCUAGAACUCGAGAUAUGGGCUGAACACUGAACAGUGUCUGGGCUGCAGGACAGAUUUCGACUUCUCUGUUGUUGCUACAAUUUGAACUUGAAAAUUGUCCUUUUGAAUCUUGGACUCUCAUGAAAGUUUUAGGUCUAUGUUUGAGCUUUCUAUC